AGACAAAGUUGGGGCAGAAAGGGCCACUGCAUUAGUAAGACUUCUGAUUCACUGAGCUCAAGAAGGAAGGGGUACGGUUCCCCUGCCCUAGUCACAGAGGUCCAAUACAAUACUGAGAAAGUGGCCACCAUGAGCUAAUGGUGCCACCUCGGUUUCUCCCCUUCCUAAAAUAUACUCUGCACAAUGAACUAUGUCACCGUGAUAGAGAAGAAAGCAGAAGAGCAGCCGUGUGAAUAGAGUCUGGGUAAAAAUGCAUUGGGGGAUGUGACUCAGUAGCACGGUGCACACUUAGCUCGUGCAAGGGCCCGAGUUUCGUUCCCAGCAUUGAAAAAUGAAUAAAAUAAGUCAGUUAAAAAUCCUCAUUUCAAAGUUAGGCUGAGCUGCAGUCCUCAUGGAGUCAUCAAACACGCACUCCCAGAGGCUCAGAAACACUCAGAAACACCCUACAGCCCAGAGCCGGGAAGAGCAGCUGCUGGACGACUGGGAAGUCGCCUGCCCGCUGCACAGGGCGCCGCCACGCAGGGACGGCAAGGCUUCAGGCUGGCCUGGCAAGAGCAUGGCUGCCCUGUGGUCCACAGGGAGAGGGGCUGGGAUCAGAAACAGUCAAAAACUACCGGAAGCUGCCUCAGUAGGUAGAAGACUCAA